UGGUACCAAAAGAUAGUCAAAAACAAAAUUUUUUGAACCAGCCUCCUGCAAGAUUUAAGACCAUCCCCCUGCACAUAUAUGUGUUGCCUCUAUGAAGGGCGGAGGUGUGGCUAAAAAGGUAAAAUGGGUGUGUCCAAAUCAGAAAUAACUUUGUGGGAGUCACUUCUUCUGCUUCAAAUUUCAAAAUUUCUU